ensembl:lincRNA
CAGGCAUCCUCCUCAUUUGCAGGCAGAAGUGAAGCCAAGGUAACACGUAGGAAAUGACUCACUGAGGAUCACAUAGCCCUCACUGUCGCAGUAUGACAGUGCUCAGGAAACUGCACCUCUGCGGUGGCCCCACUCACUUAGGGCUGCAUUACCAGGGGUUUUGUAAGUUGGGGCACCCGAGCUGGUUUAGGGAGCCAACACUCCCCUGCGCAGAGGAGAGUCUUCCUUCCGAAACCAGACCUACUGCUUCGGGCUCAUCUGCCAGGCUUGCUGGGGGCUCAGAAGGUGAAACCCAGUGUCUGGUCUUCCCCGGCUCCAGCGCAUUCCUGCGGUAGAACGAGAGAAGGUGAGACAGGCUCUCCAUGCAGAGCAGCCGUGGGGCAGGGGACCAAAAACACUUGCUGCAAAAUCUUUUCCGCAGUGAUGUUCACGAAGAAAAGGCACCGGGAGCUUGGCUCCAUCCAGCUGCCUCUGGGAGGCCGUGUGGAGGGAAACGGCAUGCAGGACCUGGGGAAUGAAUAUGCAGGCCGAUCCCUGCUUUGCACAGUUCCAUGGGGGAGCAGUAUUGAAGAUAUUUCAAGCCGCUGAAAAGGUUUAUAUUUCACCUUCGUUCCCGCAGCAGCUCACUCCACACUUGGUCUUCCUUCCUCCUGAACCGUCUCUCUUCCUCUGCUUGCUCGACCUCAACUCUGAGUCUCCUGUGCUUUUUGGGAAACGGUACACCAGUGACAUUCAGACUUUUCUGUCUGUGGAACCCUUUCUCGGCGAUAGAAACCCUAUGGGCCAGCAUUCCACCUACUGCUGCUGUAAGUGGCUGUAAUCUGUGUUUCUGAAAUGUGUGCGUGUGCGUGUGUGUGUGAGUGUGUGUGUGAGUGUGUGUGUGUGUGUGUGUGUGUACCACUUCGGGUACACUUGAAAAACUUGAAAAACUCUGCAUGAUUUGAUGUGUCUUGUGAUUCUCAACCCUAGCACCGUCAAAGGCCCUUGGAGAGCUAAACCACAUCACCUGUUCAGAAUUCUAGUGGUUUCCAAGAGGUGCUUUAAGGGAUGGCUUGAGAAAUGAAGGGUGUGCAGGCGGGACGGCCUCAGCAGGCAGCUCCACUUUACCCUAACUUCCUCCUAACGUUCUACUGAAGGAAAGGUUUCCCUGCUUUAAAAACUAGUUCUGUGCCUUUGUGUCUCUGCGUCUCUAUGUCUGUGUCUGUAUCGCUCUCUCUCUCCUUCUCUCACUUUGGCUACCCUCUCCUAAACUACCAGGCACCUUGAAGUCCACGGAGAGGUGAGAAAUGUUCCAUGCCCACACAGGGGGCUCUGUGACUAAUCAUUCAAUGAAGAGUGAGUCACAGUUAAAAUCCCCUAGCUCUGACUGCAAAAGGUGGAAGGGAAAUUUUACUCACCACAGCCAAGAGCACCCCCGGGCCUCACGGGGCCUUCCCCCGAGAGCCGCGUCCCCUGGGUUCCUAUUUACGUUAAAUCAGGCUUUGGCCCGAUGAACAGCCAUCAAGACACAAGCACCCAGAACAGAAAGGACAGAUACAUCGUGUCCGCUGCUAAGUAAUGUUUUGAGUGUGUUGAAUUUCGGAAUACUCCACUCCCCGGUGUGAAAGCCACUAGCCAUUUACAUAAAUGUAGCUAUUUAGGGUUAAGGGUGGAGCUUGGUGGUAGAGGUAGUACGCAUGGAACCCCAGGUUUCAUUCCUAGUGCUGGAAAAAAAAAGCAGCUCUUUACAUGUGAAUUAAAAUCAAACAAAAUUUAAGAUUCAGGGGCUGGGGAUUUAGCUCAGCGGCAAAAGCACCUGCCUGGCAAGCGCAGGGUCGUGAGUUCGGUUCCCGGUACCGGAAAAAAACCAAAAAAAAAAAAAACCAAAAAAAAAAAAAAAUUUAAAAUUCAGCUUUUCAGUCACACCAACUGCAUUUCAGUACCUGCGCAUGGCUAGUGGUUGCUCUGGUGGAACAGAAAGAUGUAAAUGUUCUUUCAUAUAUAUUCUGGUCACUAUAGAAAGCUCUAUAGGACAGUAGCAGUGUCACCUGAUCUAGUUCUUAAUCCUUCGUUAGCACAGCGUGGGGCUCCUAUGAGGCUCUGCACGCCUAGCUCCCUCUAUGCGCCCCCAGAAAGCUCCCCUUUGCCAGCCAACCUGGUCCCAGGAUUCUUGGAACAGUGAAUUUAGAAGUUACUGAGCUAAGGUAUAAAUGAGCAUGAGAGAGUUUGAAGCAUGGUCUGAAGUUUGCUUUUAUUCUCACUUCUUUUUUUUUUUUUUUUUUUUUUUUUUUUUUUUUGAGACAGAAUCUCACUAUGCAGUUCAAACUGGUCUUGAGCUUACUUUGUAGCCCAGGCUGGUCUCGAACUUGCAACGAUCCUCCUGCCUCAGCCUCCUGAGCGCUAGGAUUACAGGCGUGCGCCACCAUGCCCGGCUUUAUUCUCACUGCUGCACCUUGUUUGGUGUGUCUCUACUAGCAGAGGUAAUAGAUAGGAAUAAUUUCCCGUCAAAUUUUUCUAAUUAUAUAAAUAUUCCAUUCAGAAGGUUUUAUUGCUAAAAUUAAAGGUACUAGAUUCAUUAUGUUCCAUUUCAAUUAAAAUCUACCUAGUUUUCUAAAUCUUUAAUUUUUAUACACUGAAAUUCAGGCUCAAACUUGAGGUCUUUCAUUAGAAUCCAGGAAGCUGGGCAUGGUGGUACAUGCUUGUAAUCUCAGUACUUGGGAGACUGAGGCAGGAGGAUCACAGAGUUCAAGGCAAACCUAGGCUACAUAGUAAGUUCACGGGCAGCCUGAACUAUAAAGCAAGAGCCUGUCUCAAAAAACCAACCAAAUAAUACAAACAAAACCCCUGUUACCCAGGAAGUGUUUACUAUAAAUACAUUCGAAACGGGACUUAAGCGCUGCAAGGAUCUUAGGAAUCAAUUUGUGUGAUAGUUUCACUUUUCACAGUAGAAAAUAUAAAACCCAGAAGAGUCAAGUAACUUGCCUAAGCAGAGUGGGGGGGGGUCAUCACUAGAGUGCCUGGGUUCAAUUUCCUGUAAUCAAAAAAAGAAAGGUUGGAGGAAAUAGAUACGUUUGCCUUGAUUUUAAUGAGUACAUGUGUCAGACCAUCACAUUGCACUCUAUAAAUAUGUACAAUUUUUAUGGCAACUAAAAAAUUUUCAAUUAAUUCAAAAGUAUUAACUGAAAACAAGAUUAAGGGAUCUCCUUUAAAAAUUUUUUUUAACCUUUUUUGGUUUGUGUUUUUUGCAGCAGGUUCUUUUGACAUUGCCAAUGCUGUCCUCAAACUCCUGGCCUCAAGUGAUUCUCUUCCGUCAGCCUGCAGAGCACCUGGGACUACAGGCGCCACCUCUGCACCACGCAAAAGCGUCUUCAUAUCGCUGGCUUCUCCAGGACUGUAGGACUGCGCUCCUCCCACACAGCCAGAUCCCUAGGCCUGUGCCCCAUCUACUGUCCAAGUCACUCUCAGGGUUUACUUACCUGUAAAUUCAAGUGUGCUCCAAAAAAUAUACUUCCUCAAAAGGCCAUUUCCCUAGAAAUAUCCCUUGGACUUUACACUACAAAAAUCACCUUAGCGGUAAAGACAACUAGAAACCCAUCCUAUCUAGAGCAAGCACCUGUGCGUAGGAGCAGUCUCAACACCACAGCCAAACGUCAGAAGUGCAGUAUUUCAUAUGGCGUCACCUCCCACCUGUCAGGCCUGAGUCUCACCGGGGUGUGCUUUUGAUGCCCGGGUAUCUCCGGAGGGCUUAGCAUAACAUCUUCAGCUGUUACCUCUCAAGUGCAAAUUAGACUUCAAAGUCUCUUUCUACUUAAACUCUAGUGUGAGGGUCAUCAUCUAACCUAUGGAGCAAAUGUGGUCUUGUUUUUACAAGUAUCUGACUGUCUUUGUAAAUAAAGUUUUAUCGGAACACUGCCAUCCUCACUUGUUUACGUAUCAUCUGUGUCUCUACCUUUUAGCUUUUACAGCAGAGCUGAAUAAUUGUGACGCACAAAGG